GGGUAGGGCUUCACACGUCAUACAAUGGUCGGUACAGAGGGUUGCCAAGCCGCGAGGUGGAGCCAAUCCCUUAAAGCCGAUCGUAGUCCGGAUCGUAGUCUGCAACUCGACUACGUGAAGUCGGAAUCGCUAGUAAUCGCAGAUCAGCAUGCUGCGGUGAAUACGUUCCCGGGUCUU
rnacentral:rRNA from 1 species